GUGAAGCUGGAUUCGCUAGUAAUCGCGCAUCAGCCAUGGCGCGGUGAAUACGUUCCCGGGCCUUGUACACACCGCCCGUCAAGCCAUGGAAGCCGGGGGCGCUUGAAGUGCGUUGCCGCAAGGCGCGCCCUAGAGCGAAACCGGUGACUGGGGCUAAGUCGUAACAAGGUAGC
rnacentral:rRNA from 1 species